UGACUGGCUGUCUUUAAGAAGAGCAGGUUGGCUGCACCAUGCACCCUCAACACAACACUGUUUGGCUCCUGCUGAGCGCAGAACCACCCGGCAACAUGAAGUGGAAGCCAACAAUGUGCAACCUGCUUGGGCCCACUCUACAAGCAUGGAGAAAGCACAAAACACUCGGGAGAGGCAUUGAAGCAGUGUCCCAUUACUGGCAAUCCUGACACCAGUGGAGGAGGAAGCCAUGGAGAUUGGCAGGGUGGCAGUAGGACAGGCAGUUCCUGAAAGAGAAAUGAAGAUUCAGCAGAGAGCAGGCACAAUGCUGGAGGUGCAGCAGGAGCCAUGUGAGGAGGCAGCGUAGAGUUCAGAGGAAGAGCAGCACCCCGAGGAAUCACCAUCACAAUGAAUCAAGUUCAUCCUCCACCAGCGCAGGUCCAUUCACCUUCAUGGGACCUUAGUUGUGGGUAGAAGGGGAGGCACAAGAUGAGGAGCACUUCACAUAUGAACAGGAGUAAGUGAUGAAGUGACAGCUGAGGGUAGUUCCCAUCAGAGGACUGAGGACAGCUUUAACUACGUUCAACAUGAUGCAGAUGCUGAGCCUUGGGGUGCAGACACGAAGUGGGUACUUGUGGAACAGCAAAGGGAGAUGGAUGGGCAUCUGGAGGUUUUUCCGAGGAAAUGACGACCCUUGGGAAGAAGAUAGAGGAGUCUAUCAUGCCAUGAGGGGUUUGCUAACAGUUCAUGUGCAUGCCUGAACUCCUUUGAAAGAAUGGCCACCUUCAUGGAGAGUUAUAUGUAGCAGACCAACAAGUGGAUGCAGGAACAGUGCAAUGGUCUCCACGAUAUGUUGGCAACCUUCUGCAGCAUUGUUCUUUCAUUUGCAGUAAUGGCUCAGGACUGCAUGGAAAUGUAGCCAAGUGCUCACCCACUCAUGGUUAGCAGGUAAUUGCAGGUAAACCCUGAAAGGGCAGGAGGAGGCAGGGAUGAUGGUAAUGGGGGCUCUUCCUGAUCUCUAGUCACCUCUCGGUCCCCCUGAUACAACCACUCUGUCCUAUCCCCAUGCCCAAGGCUGACCCUGCACAGAUGC